rnacentral:rRNA from 1 species
UACGGAGGGGGCUAGCGUUGUUCGGAAUGACUGGGCGUAAAGCGCGCGUAGGCGGAUCAUCAAGUCGGGGGUGAAAUCCCGGGGCUCAACCCCGGCACGGCCUUCGAGACUGGUGGUCUUGAGUUCGAGAGAGGUGAGUGGAAUUCCGAGUGUAGAGGUGAAAUUCGUAGAUAUUCGGAGGAACACCAGUGGCGAAGGCGGCUCACUGGCUCGACACUGACGCUGAGGUGCGAAAGCGUGGGGAGCAACAGG